rnacentral:lncRNA from 10 species
UCCUGCAACUUCAGCAGUUAAAGCAAGUAGUGAAUUUUCUCCAACAUUCACAGAAAAAUCAGUGGCACUGCCACCUAUAAAAGAAAAUAUGCCAAAGAAUGUUUUGCCAGAUUCUCAGCAACAAUAUAAUGUUGUGAAGACUGUUAAAGUAACUGAACAAUUAAGGCACUGUAGUGAGAUUCUUAAAGAAAUGCUUGCAAAGAAACAUUUUUCAUAUGCAUGGCCCUUUUAUAAUCCUGUUGACGUUAAUGCUUUGGGACUCCAUAACUACUAUGACGUUGUCAAAAAUCCGAUGGAUCUUGGAACUAUUAAGGUAAAUGUUGCCUUAAAAGGAAGAACUUCUUUUUCUUGAUUAUAAAAGUAAUUCAUCAUUGCAAAGAAAUCUUAAAAUCUAGAAAAAGAUGAAGGAAAUUAAGAUCAUCCAAGUCACACUAUCUGGAGAGAAAAUGGAUAACCAAGAAUAUAAGGAUGCAUACAAAUUUGCGGCAGAUGUUAGAUUAAUGUUCAUGAAUUGCUACAAGUACAAUCCUCCAGAUCACGAAGUUGUGACAAUGGCAAGAAUGCUUCAGGAUGUUUUCGAAACGCAUUUUUCAAAGAUCCCGAU